AUUACUGGGCGUAAAGCGUGCGCAGGCGGUGAUGUAAGACCGAUGUGAAAUCCCCGGGCUUAACCUGGGAACUGCAUUGGUGACUGCAUUGCUGGAGUAUGGCAGAGGGGGGUGGAAUUCCACGUGUAGCGGUGAAAUGCGUAGAUAUGUGGAGGAACACCAGUGGCGAAAGCGGCUCUCUGGCCUGUAACUGACGCUGAGGCGCGAAAGCGUGGGGAGCAAACAGGAUUAGAUACCCUGGUAGUCCACGCCGUAAACGAUGAGUGCUAGGUGUUAGGGGGGUCCAACCCCUUAGUGCUGAAGUUAACACAUUAAGCACUCCGCCUGGGGAGUACGACCGCAAGGUUGAAACUCAAAGGAAUUGACGGGGGCCCGCACAAGCAGUGGAGCAUGUGGUUUAAUUCGAAGCAACGCGAAGAACCUUACCAGGUCUUGACAUCCUCUGACAACCCUAGAGAUAGGGCGUUCCCCUUCGGGGGACAGAGUGACAGGUGGUGCAUGGUUGUCGUCAGCUCGUGUCGUGAGAUGUUGGGUUAAGUCCCGCAACGAGCGCAACCCUUGAUGUUAGUUGCCAGCAUUCAGUUGGGCACUCUAACGUGACUGCCGGUGACAAACCGGAGGAAGGUGGGGAUG
rnacentral:rRNA from 1 species